rnacentral:rRNA from 1 species
AUGGCGUCGCCCAUGCUCUCCACGGCCAUGGCGCCACUCCAGGGGGGCAUGCUGGAGUUCUCCGGGCUGAGGAGCUCGUCGUCGCUGCCGCUCCGGCGGAAUGCCACCUCCGACGACUUCAUGUCCGCGGUUUCCUUCAGGACGUACGCGGUGAGCACCAGCGGCGGGUCGCGCAAGGCGCCGACGGAGGCCAAACUCAAGGUGGCGAUCAACGGGUUCGGGCGCAUCGGGCGCAACUUCCUGCGGUGCUGGCACGGGCGCGGCGACAGCUCGCCGCUGGAGGUGAUCGCCAUCAACGACACCGGAGGCGUGAAGCAGGCGUCCCACCUCCUCAAGUACGACUCCACGCUGGGCAUCUUCGACGCGGACGUCAAGCCCGUGGGCGACAACGCCAUCUCCGUGGACGGCAAGGUGAUCAAGGUGGUGUCCGACCGCAACCCCUCCAACCUGCCGUGGGGCGAGAUGGGCAUCGACCUCGUCAUCGAGGGCACCGGCGUCUUCGUCGACCGCGCCGGCGCGGGCAAGCAUCUCGAGGCCGGCGCCAAGAAGGUGCUCAUCACCGCGCCCGGCAAGGGCGACAUCCCCACCUACGUCUGCGGCGUCAACGCCGACCUCUACACCCACGCCGACACCAUCAUCAGCAACGCCUCCUGCACCACCAACUGCCUCGCCCCCUUCGUCAAGGUGCUCGACCAAAAGUUCGGCAUCAUCAAGGGAACCAUGACCACAACCCACUCCUACACCGGCGACCAGAGGCUGCUGGACGCGAGCCACCGCGACCUGCGCCGUGCCCGUGCCGCCGCGCUCAACAUCGUGCCCACCUCCACCGGCGCGGCCAAGGCCGUGGCGCUGGUGCUGCCCAACCUCAAGGGCAAGCUCAACGGGAUCGCGCUCCGGGUGCCCACCCCCAACGUGUCCGUCGUCGACCUCGUGGUGCAGGUCUCCAAGAAGACCCUCGCCGAGGAGGUGAACCAGGCGUUCCGCGACGCCGCCGCCAACGAGCUCAAGGGCAUCCUCGACGUCUGCGACGAGCCGCUCGUGUCCGUCGACUUCAGGUGCUCCGACGUGUCCUCCACCAUCGACGCGUCGCUCAGCAUGGUCAUGGGAGACGACAUGGUCAAGGUCAUCGCGUGGUACGACAACGAGUGGGGUUACUCCCAGAGGGUCGUCGACCUCGCCGACAUCGUCGCCGACCAAUGGAAGUGA